rnacentral:rRNA from 1 species
CGUGACGACGAGGCACUACGGUGCUGAAGCAACAAAUGCCCUGCUUCCAGGAAAAGCCUCUAAGCAUCAGGUAACACGAAAUCGUACCCCAAACCGACACAGGUGGUCAGGUAGAGAAUACCAAGGCGCUUGAGAGAACUCGGGUGAAGGAACUAGGCAAAAUGGUGCCGUAACUUCGGGAGAAGGCACGCUGACACGUAGGUGAAGUGAUUUACUCAUGGAGCUGAAGUCAGUCGAAGAUACCAGCUGGCUGCAACUGUUUAUUAAAAACACAGCACUGUGCAAACACGAAAGUGGACGUAUACGGUGUGACGCCUGCCCGGUGCCGGAAGGUUAAUUGAUGGGGUCAGCGUAAGCGAAGCUCCUGAUCGAAGCCCCGGUAAACGGCGGCCGUAACUAUAACGGUCCUAAGGUAGCGAAAUUCCUUGUCGGGUAAGUUCCGACCUGCACGAAUGGCGUAAUGAUGGCCAGGCUGUCUCCACCCGAGACUCAGUGAAAUUGAACUCGCUGUGAAGAUGCAGUGUACCCGCGGCAAGACGGAAAGACCCCGUGAACCUUUACUAUAGCUUGACACUGAACAUUGAGCCUUGAUGUGUAGGAUAGGUGGGAGGCUUUGAAGUGUGGACGCCAGUCUGCAUGGAGCCGACCUUGAAAUACCACCCUUUAAUGUUUGAUGUUCUAACGUGGACCCGUAAUCCGGGUUGCGGACAGUGUCUGGUGGGUAGUUUGACUGGGGCGGUCUCCUCCUAAAGAGUAACGGAGGAGCACGAAGGUUGGCUAAUCCUGGUCGGACAUCAGGAGGUUAGUGCAAUGGCAUAAGCCAGCUUGACUGCGAGCGUGACGGCGCGAGCAGGUGCGAAAGCAGGUCAUAGUGAUCCGGUGGUUCUGAAUGGAAGGGCCAUCGCUCAACGGAUAAAAGGUACUCCGGGGAUAACAGGCUGAUACCGCCCAAGAGUUCAUAUCGACGGCGGUGUUUGGCACCUCGAUGUCGGCUCAUCACAUCCUGGGGCUGAAGUAGGUCCCAAGGGUAUGGCUGUUCGCCAUUUAAAGUGGUACGCGAGCUGGGUUUAGAACGUCGUGAGACAGUUCGGUCCCUAUCUGCCGUGGGCGCUGGAGAACUGAGGGGGGCUGCUCCUAGUACGAGAGGACCGGAGUGGACGCAUCACUGGUGUUCGGGUUGUCAU